AAACAACAAUCUUUGACAGAUUGUCAAAAGCAUCUGACACAUUUUCAGUUGCUUUAGCAAAGAAUGCGCCUCUAUUCUGGUCUUCUCUCUUCUAUGAGACAAGCUGUCAUAUAGGCUUAAACAGU